rnacentral:rRNA from 1 species
ACUCCUACGGGAGGCAGCAGUGGGAAUCUUGCACAAUGGGCGAAAGCCUGAUGCAGCCAUGCCGCGUGAAUGAUGAAGGCCUUAGGGUUGUAAAAUUCUUUCGCCAGGGAUGAUAAUGACAGUACCUGGUAAAGAAGCCCCGGCUAACUUCGUGCCAGCAGCCGCGGUAAUACGAAGGGGCGUAGCGUUGUUCGGAAUUACUGGGCGUAAAGCGCGCGUAGCGGGCUGUUAAGCCAGAUGUGAAAGCCCGGGGCUCAACUCCGGAACUGCAUUUGGAACUGGCAGCCUAGAGGCCAGGAGAGGUUAGUGGAAUACCGAGUGUAGAGGUGAAAUUCGUAGAUAUUCGGUGGAACACCAGUGGCGAAGGCGACUAACUGGACUGGUACUGACGCUGAGGCGCGAAAGUGUGGGGAGCAAACAGGAUUAGAUACCCUGGUAGGCUCUGC